CAGUAGCCGCGGUAAUACGUAGGUGGCAAGCGUUGUCCGGAAUUAUUGGGCGUAAAGGGCUCGCAGGCGGUUUCUUAAGUCUGAUGUGAAAGCCCCCGGCUCAACCGGGGAGGGUCAUUGGAAACUGGGAAACUUGAGUGCAGAAGAGGAGAGUGGAAUUCCACGUGUAGCGGUGAAAUGUGUAGAGAUGUGGAGGAACACCAGUGGCGAAGGCGACUCUCUGGUCUGUAACUGACGCUGAGGAGCGAAAGCGUGGGGAGCGAACAGGAUUAGAUACCCGAGUAGUCCCUGUCUCUUAUAC
rnacentral:rRNA from 1 species